GAAACUGGCUCUAGGUCGGGGACAACCACUGGAAACGGUGGCUAAUACCGGAUGUGCCGAGAGGUGAAAGAUUAAUUGCCUAGAGAUGAGCUCGCGUCUGAUUAGCUAGUAGGUGUGGUAAGAGCGCACCUAGGCGACGAUCAGUAGCUGGUCUGAGAGGAUGAUCAGCCACACUGGGACUGAGACACGGCCCAGACUCCUACGGGAGGCAGCAGUGGGGAAUUUUCCGCAAUGGGCGAAAGCCUGACGGAGCAAUACCGCGUGAGGGAGGAAGGCUCUUGGGUUGUAAACCUCUUUUCUCAAGGAAGAACAAAAUGACGGUACUUGAGGAAUAAGCAUCGGCUAACUCCGUGCCAGCAGCCGCGGUAAUACGGAGGAUGCAAGCGUUAUCCGGAAUGAUUGGGCGUAAAGCGUCCGCAGGUGGCUAUGUAAGUCUGCUGUUAAAGAGUGAGGCUCAACCUCAUAAGAGCAGUGGAAACUACAUGGCUAGAGUGCGUUCGGGGCAGAGGGAAUUCCUGGUGUAGCGGUGAAAUGCGUAGAGAUCAGGAAGAACACCGGUGGCGAAAGCGCUCUGCUAGGCCGCAACUGACACUGAGGGACGAAAGCUAGGGGAGCG
rnacentral:rRNA from 1 species